CCGGGAAGAAGCGCGGCUGGGCUCGUCAACCUGAAAAUGCUUUUGAGCGUCCUACUGAUUUCUAAUACAAAGGCAAGGAGCAGGUACAGUUCCAGCUGCCAAGAAUGGAUGCAUGUUUUUCCAGAUGAGCCAACUGAGAUAUGAAAAUCUAUGGGAUCUAUUUAGCUGAUUUGGAUAUAAGCAAACUUAUACCCUGGUCUACUUAUUGCUGGUUUAGCACAUGUGGAUCUGACAAAAAUUGCAGAGUCCCGAUGAACACUGCAGGUGGAAAGACACUAAUUUGACAAUCUGAGACCUGGUCUACAUUAUGAACUUGUCGCUCAGAACACACAGGAGUCAGUCAUGGAUCAGGAUCUUUCUGUGCUAGGAACUGUACAAACACAGAAGAAAAAGUUGGUGCCUAUCCCAAAGAACUUAAAAAUCUUUGGAACAAACCUGUAAUACAACCCAGAAAUGAAUUGGAACACCAGAACCAAGUCUCUGGGAGGAACAAGAAAAUGCAACAGACAAGAUAGAGAUCCAAAUCCACAGCACAACUAUUUUCAGUUGUAGCUUUUACAAUACCUUGCAUCGUCAUACCCUACUUGUACAUUAUUAUAUAUAUUUGAUUAUGAUGCAAUACAUUACUGAGUUUAAUUUAAAAAUCUCUUAUUUGGAACUUUUAAAAGCAUAAUCAUUCAAAACAACAACAAAUUAAGUGAAUGUUUUAAAACAGAGGCACCACUUUCGGUAUGUAAUUCUAUGCUUUGUGCUUUAUAUCCUUUAAUCUUGAUAAACUUUUCCAGACCAUGACUCAGACUACAUCAUACAUAUUAUGAACAAAUAUCAGCUAAUUUUGUACAUAAACACUGGUUACUGAUUAGAUAGCAAUACAUUAGAAUAUAUUAAAUAUUUUCACAUUACUCUUCCAGCACUGUGAGCUUGAAUUUUCUUUUACAGAAAAUGUAUUA